rnacentral:rRNA from 1 species
AUGGCGGAUGGGCCAAGCCGUGUGCUACUCCAUUCACUGGAAAGCAUGACAGAUAAUUUCUCUAAAGGCCGAUUACUUGGCAGUGGUUCGUACGGAAAAGUUUAUCUGGGGGAGCGGGAAGAUGGUCAAAAAAUUGCUGUAAAGAUUCUUCACGACAUGUCAGGACAUGACGAUGUGCAAUUUGAUAAGGAAUUUUACAAUCUUGUAAAUCUGCAACACCAGAACAUCGUGCAGUUAGUUGGUUAUUGCCAUGAAACCCGACGAGAAUACUUGCCGUACAACAAAACUAAGGUUCUUGCUGAGGUGACAAAGAGAGCGCUUUGCUUUGAGUUUGUGGAAAAUGGAAGCCUUAACAGCUAUCUCUUUGAUGAAUCUAAGGGACAUGGUUGGCGCACGCGCUACGCCAUAAUCAAGGGUAUUUGCAAUGGUUUGAAGUACCUUCACGAGGAAUUGAAGCCUCCUAUUUUUCAUUUGGAUCUAAAACCAGCCAACAUAUUGCUGGAUAAGAACAUGAUCCCGAAAAUUGCUGAUUUCGGAUUGUCCAGAUUCUUCAAGGAAGAAAAAUCUCAUAGCACUAACAGUCCUAUAGGAACACUUGGGUACUUACCACCGGAGUUUAUACAUCAUAGAAUAAUCUCAAAUAAACUGGAUAUAUUCAGCCUGGGAGUUGUAGUUAUAAAGAUAAUUGCAGGUCCUCCAGGGCACUGCAGAAGUGCUGAAAUGAGCUCUGAGCAAUUCAUUAAGAUUGUACAUGGGAAUUGGAUGAAUAGGCUACAAUCAGUGGUGUCAGGGAAUUAG